GGAUGUUCUGAUCUUUGCUUGGUGUAAUUGGUGGUUUGGAUUACUUGGUUGGAGACGUCUAGGUAGAUGGUAUACUGGAUGAUUGAUUUGGUGGUAGUUAUCCCUUCGAUGGUUAUGCUGUGGUUUCUCGGCCUGGGCGAUCUUCCUCUAUUUUUUCAAAAGGGAGAUGCUGGGAUUGUGAAGCGAAAGCAUUAGUUCCGUAAGGUAUGAAUAAUCUUCAAACAAUUUAGGUUUUGGUUGUGGUACUCUAUUAGUUUGGUGAACUAGUAUUUGUGGGUAUUAAGGUCUGUUAAAGGAUUGUGUUUGUAGGUUGAUUUUGUUAUGUUGUUAGGGAACUCUGGUCGUAUUUGUG
rnacentral:misc_RNA from 1 species